rnacentral:rRNA from 1 species
GGUGUCAGCCGCCGCGGUAAUACGUAGGGUGCGAGCGUUAAUCGGAAUUACUGGGGGUAAAGCGUGCGCAGGCGGUUUUGUAAGUCAGAUGUGAAAUCCCCGAGCUCAACUUGGGAACUGCGUUUGAAACUACAAGACUAGAAUAUGUCAGAGGGGGGUAGAAUUCCACGUGUAGCAGUGAAAUGCGUAGAGAUGUGGAGGAAUACCAAUGGCGAAGGCAGCCCCCUGGGAUAAUAUUGACGCUCAUGCACGAAAGCGUGGGGAGCAAACAGGAUUAGAUACCCUCGUAGUCC